UAGUUUCAUAUAUUAUAUAAAUGUUGUUUCAGUUUUGACACAGUUAGUAGGUAUAUGUAUAUAACUAGUGAGAAUUCUAUAAUGUGAGGGCUGGUAGUACAAUCAUGCAGAAUCAAUGUUGCUUCUAGCGCACAAGCGAUCUUAAACAAGUGGUAGUAUAUCUUCGACACAUGGGAAGUAUGCCUAUAGGUUUCAUGUUACCUAUUUCUUAUACUAUUUUGAAACAUCUGAAAGAGGUCACUUUUUGAAAGUAUUAAAGACGUGAUUUUACCGACGUAUAAAGGUCGUCAUCUUUUUGACGUUUGAAAAUCGUCACGAUCUCGACGUGAAAAGAACGUAGAUACGAUUACGUUUUAAAAUCGUCACAGUUAUGACGUCAAAUCGAUGAGACAAAUACACGUGAUUUUCAACGUCAGUACUACGUCAUA
rnacentral:lncRNA from 1 species